ACAGUAUGAACUGUAUGAACACACAGCGGGAAAAACCUGUUUCAGUGUUUACGAGCAGCUGACUCAUGUUUGAAGACUUGAAGAAAGUGGUGGAAACCAGGAACAACAACCUGCUGAAUGUUCUCCUUCCUCUUUCUUCAUUUGACAUCAGACCACGUCGUAGGUGCCAGCAAGCAACGCAGAGAGAUGCAUAGAAGCAGAUUUAUUUUAUUUUAUUUCAUUUUUUUCUCUCUUCAGUCCAUCAGGUGCGGAGAUGUUCGUGAAACAGCUGGAUCUUUAGCUUUUUCUUAAAGAUGGAGAGGGACUCUGUGGAUCGUUCCACCAUCGGGGGACUAUAGAGGAGAAGAGUCCAGCUGCGGUGGCGUCGGGAGGGAGGAGUUCAGGUAGGCGGGAGCUGGUUGAAGACCAGAUGUGCCCUAACCCUAACCCUCUCAGGUCGUUGGUCCUCCAGAGUCCAGACCACAUGCUGGCCUCUCCAUGCUGGACUUCAGGUUGGUUAUGGAUCCACAGCUGCAGUAGACGUGAGUUAUUAAAGCAGCAACAUUCUGAUUUAUUUCUGAUUUAACGUUUGGUUUUCUGUUUCUGAACUUCCUGUCAAUCAAAAGAUUUGGAAACAAAUCCACCAACAUCACAUCACAUUUACCAAUGACAUCAUUUUAUUAAUUGAAUACAUUGUCACAGUGAAAUUAAUCUGUGUGCUUUAUAAAACUUUGUUAUUGGUCAAUAGGAACACGUGGAUGUGAAAGAUUCCACUGAUCAAUAUGAUGAUUGAUUGUAUUGUUUUGGCUUUAUUCUCAGGUCUUCAGGAAGAUUCAUCACUAAACUGUCACAGUUAUUUUAUUAUCAAGUGUUUAUUUCAGUCAUUGAUCUUUCACCUUUAAUUAUCAUGAAUCAGUUUUAUCAAACAUAUUAUAAUUCAUGUAAUCAUGUUGGACAUAAUUCUAGUUUUAUUUAACUGUUGAUCUCAUCUUAUCUGCAUUAUAUUAUAAAUAAACAAGUGUAUAUCAGA